AAGUUAGUGAUGAUUAUAAAAAUAAUUUUUCAUUAUGACUUGCUUAAUUUGGGUAUGACUAACCUCUUAUUACAACUAUAGAAUCUGAGCUAC
rfam:Theobroma cacao cultivar Matina 1-6 chromosome 2, whole genome shotgun sequence.